GACGAACGCUGGCGGCGUGCUUAACACAUGCAAGUCGAACGGAAAGGCCCUGCUUUUGUGGGGUGCUCGAGUGGCGAACGGGUGAGUAACACGUGAGUAACCUGCCCUUGACUUUGGGAUAACUUCAGGAAACUGGGGCUAAUACCGGAUAGGAGCUCCUGCUGCAUGGUGGGGGUUGGAAAGUUUCGGCGGUUGGGGAUGGACUCGCGGCUUAUCAGCUUGUUGGUGGGGUAGUGGCUUACCAAGGCUUUGACGGGUAGCCGGCCUGAGAGGGUGACCGGCCACGGCAGGGCUGGGGUGCGGCCCAGCCGGCUGGGGGAGGGAGCAGGGGAGAUCAUGCCACGGGGGGAGGAAGCGGGACGCACGCAGGCGGGGGGGGGGUGGGCGGCCGGCGGGUGUUACGCCGCUUUCGCCGGGGAGGAGGCGUGGUGUACGGGAUGGGGAAAAGACGAACCGGCUAACUACGUGCCGGCUGCAGGGGUAAUAGUCGGAAGAGCACACGUUUGAGC
rnacentral:rRNA from 1 species